rnacentral:lncRNA from 1 species
CCAACGUAGUCGUCAAACUAGCUCAAACCCAUGCUUUCUAUGGAUUACUGACUAAUAUCUACUUGGUGAAUUACUAAACAAUAAUUACCUGCGGUAAUAUACAAAUACACAGAAAGAGAUAGGGAGAGAGAAGAGAGGGGAUUACAUGUAAUUGUAGCUUCAUAGCAUCAGACGUUUCUCUUCAGGUACAUGGCAUAGGACUAGAGAGAUCCACUGAUCUGUUAAAGGAGAAGCUGCAACGGCACAAAAUUGAGAUAAGCAUAUAGAUUUAUAACAUUAGCUGAGUAAAUUUUAGAGUUGAUAACUUGUUAAAGCAUAGAAAUUCAGGAGUAUAUAUAUAUAUAUAUAUCUUACAAAUCAAGUGAAAACCGUCAAUCUGGACAUUAUUCUAUGCUUAGCGCUAAUCUUGUGAAUACAUAAAAUAUCAAUCUCAGAUCUUCUGUACAAAAGCUGCACAACAAAAGAGGAGUACUGCAAAAAGUAGCACUCGGUUAUGUGAAUCAUGUCCCCACCAUCCGAUUUCUUUCCUUUUAUAGAAGUUUGUUUUUGCAAGAAAUAUCCCCAAUAAGAAAACCUAAAUUAUGAGAUAAUUUUGAAGAAAAGGGAGAAAGAAUGGUGAAGGUGAUGACGGAAGCAUAGAGAGCACAAAUGAAUUGAGAUGCUUUU